rnacentral:rRNA from 1 species
ACGGGUGCGUAACGCGUAUGCUACCUACCUAUCACUGGGGGAUAGCCCGGGGAAACCCGGAUUAAUACCGCAUAAAACAGGGGCACCGCAUGGUGAUAUUUGUUAAAGAUUUAUUGGUGAUAGAUGGGCAUGCGUUCGAUUAGCUAGUUGGCGGGGUAACGGCCCACCAAGGCGACGAUCGAUAGGGGAGCUGAGAGGUUGAUCCCCCACACGGGCACUGAGAUACGGGCCCGACUCCUACGGGAGGCAGCAGUAGGGAAUAUUGGGCAAUGGAUGCAAGUCUGACCCAGCCAUGCCGCGUGCCGGAUGAAGGCCCUCAGGGUUGUAAACGGCUUUUAUUCGGGAAGAAGAGCAGGGAUGCGUCCUUGUGUGACGGUACCGAAUGAAUAAGCACCGGCUAACUCCGUGCCAGCAGCCGCGGUAAUACGGAGGGUGCGAGCGUUGUCCGGAUUUAUUGGGUUUAAAGGGUGCGUAGGUGGCUGUUUAAGUCAGUGGUGAAAUACGGUUGCUCAACAAUCGAGGUGCCAUUGAUACUGAAUAGCUUGAAAUAAUUGGAGGCUGCCCGGAAUGUAAUGGUGUAGCGGU